rnacentral:rRNA from 1 species
AUUGAACGCUGGCGGCAUGCUUUACGCAUGCAAGUCGGACGGCAGCACAGAGAAGCUUGCUUCUUGGGUGGCGAGUGGCGAACGGGUGAGUAAUAUAUCGGAACGUACCGAGUAAUGGGGGAUAACUAAUCGAAAGAUUAGCUAAUACCGCAUAUUCUCUGAGGAGGAAAGCAGGGGACCUUCGGGCCUUGCGUUAUUCGAGCGGCCGAUAUCUGAUUAGCUAGUUGGUGGGGUAAAGGCCUACCAAGGCGACGAUCAGUAGCGGGUCUGAGAGGAUGAUCCGCCACACUGGGACUGAGACACGGCCCAGACUCCUACGGGAGGCAGCAGUGGGGAAUUUUGGACAAUGGGCGCAAGCCUGAUCCAGCCAUGCCGCGUGUCUGAAGAAGGGCUUCGGGUUGUAAAGGACUUUUGUCAGGGAAGAAAAGGCUGUUGCUAAUACCGACAGCUGAUGACGGUACCUGAAGAAUAAGCACCGGCUAACUACGUG